rnacentral:rRNA from 1 species
CUCUACGGGUGGCUGCAGUAAGGAAUAUUGGUCAAUGGACGCAAGUCUGAACCAGCCAUGCCGCGUGGAGGAUGAAGGCCCUCUGGGUUGUAAACUUCUUUUAUAUGGGACGAAAAAGGGUCUUUCUAGAUCAACUGACGGUACCAUGUGAAUAAGCACCGGCUAACUCCGUGCCAGCAGCCGCGGUAAUACGGAGGGUGCAAGCGUUAUCCGGAUUCACUGGGUUUAAAGGGUGCGUAGGUGGGUUGGUAAGUCAGUGGUGAAAUCUCCGAGCUUAACUUGGAAACUGCCAUUGAUACUAUCAGUCUUGAAUAUUGUGGAGGUCAGCGGAAUAUGUCAUGUAGCGGUGAAAUGCUUAGAUAUGACAUAGAACACCAAUUGCGAAGGCAGCUGGCUACGCAUAUAUUGACACUGAGGCACGAAAGCGUGGGGAUCAAACAGGAUUAGAUACCCUGGUAGUCCACGCCCUAAACUAUGGAUACUCGACGUGCGCGAUACACUGUGCGCGUCUGAGCGAAAGCAUUAAG